UACGUAGGGGCCUAGCGUUGUCCGGAAUUAUUGGGCGUAAAGAGCUCGUAGGCGGUUCGGCAAGUCGGAUGUGAAAUCUCCACGCUUAACGUGGAGGGGCCAUUCGAAACUGCUGUGACUCGAGUCCGGUAGGGGAGUGUGGAAUUCCCGGUGUAGCGGUGAAAUGCGCAGAUAUCGGGAGGAACACCAGUAGCGAAGGCGGCACUCUGGGCCCGGUACUGACGCUGAGGAGCGAAAGCGA
rnacentral:rRNA from 1 species